GACGAACGCUGGCGGCGUGCUUAACACAUGCAAGUCGAACGAUGAAGCCGGAGCUUGCUCUGGUGAAUUAGUGGCGAACGGGUGAGUAACACGUGAGUAACCUGCCCUUGACUCUGGGAUAACUGCUAGAAAUGGUAGCUAAUACCGGGUACGACCCUCGGAGGCAUCUCCAGGGGGUGGAAAGAAUUUCGGUCAAGGAUGGACUCGCGGCCUAUCAGCUAGUUGGUGAGGUAACGACUAACCAAGGCGACGACGGGUAGCCGGCCUGAGAGGGUGACCGGCCACACUGGGACUGAGACACGGCCCAGACUCCUACGGGAGGCAGCAGUGGGGAAUAUUGCACAAUGGGCGCAAGCCUGAUGCAGCAACGCCGCGUGAGGGAUGACGGCCUUCGGGUUGUAAACCUCCUUUAGUAGGGAAGAAGCGAAAGUGACGGUACCUGCAGAAAAAGCACCGGCUAACUACGUGCCAGCAGCCGCCGCCG
rnacentral:rRNA from 1 species